GGUUGAUCCUGCCAGUAGCAUAUGCUUGUCUCAAAGAUUAAGCCAUGCAUGUCUAAGUACAAGCCGCUAGACGGCGAAACCGCGAAUGGCUCAAUAAAUCAGUUAUGGUUCCUUAGAACAGUCAAUCCUACUUGGAUAACUGUGGUAAUUCUAGAGCUAAUACAUGCACCCAAGCCCCGACUCGGGGGGCAACUCUCGAGAAAGGGCGCUUUUAUUAGAUCAAAACCAGUCGAGAGCUUCGGCUCUCGUUAAGUUUGGUGACUCUGGAUAACUUCACGCUGAUCGCACGGUCUUCGCACCGGCGACGAUUCUUUCAAAUGUCUGCCUUAUCAACUGUCGAUGGUAGGUUAUGCGCCUACCAUGGUUGCAACGGGUAACGGGGAAUCGGGGUUCGAUUCCGGAGAGGGAGCCUGAGAAACGGCUACCACAUCCAAGGAAGGCAGCAGGCGCGCAAAUUACCCACUCCCGGCACGGGGAGGUAGUGACGAAAAAUAACGAUACGGGACUCUUCCGAGGCCCCGUGAUUGGAAUGAGUACACUUUAAAUCCUUUAACGAGGACCCAUUGGAGGGCAAGUCUGGUGCCAGCAGCCGCGGUAACUCCAGCUCCAAUAGCGUAUAUUAAAGUUGUUGCGGUUAAAAAGCUCGUAGUCGGAGUUCUGUCUUCGGCCGAGGGGGGAUUCUGCCUACACGGUAUGAGUCUCGUUCCCUUUGGGUGUGCGGUGUCAAAGCCGUGCACUCUUAACGGUCGGACAAGUCCGUCGGAGUGUGGUUAUUGUUGGAAGGGCAACCGACCAAUGAGGCCACCGUAAUCGUUCGGGGUGCCUUUAAUCGGGUGUCUCGGGCGGCCGACAUAGUUUACUUUGAACAAAUUAGAGUGCUCAAAGCAGGUGACUACCGCCUGAAUAGUACAGCAUGGAAUGAUGAAAGAGGACCUCGGUCUGAUUUUGCUGGUCUUUAACGGUCGGGCUUCGGCCCGGCCUAUGCAGACCCGAGGUAAUGGUCAAUAGAGACGGACGGGGGCAUCCGUACUGCGGCGACAGAGGUGAAAUUCUUGGACCGCCGCAAGACGAACGACAGCGAAGGCAUUUGCCAAGAAUGUUUUCCUUGAUCAAGAACGAAAGUUAGAGGUUCGAAGGCGAUCAGAUACCGCCCUAGUUCUAACCAUAAACGAUGCCAACUAGCGAUCCGCCGGUGUUACUCCCAUGACUCGGCGGGCAGCUUCCGGGAAACCAAAGUCUUUGGGUUCCGGGGGAAGUAUGGUUGCAAAGCUGAAACUUAAAGGAAUUGACGGAAGGGCACCACCAGGAGUGGAGCCUGCGGCUUAAUUUGACUCAACACGGGAAACCCCACCAGGCCCGGACACUGGAAGGAUUGACAGAUUGAGAGCUCUUUCUUGAUUCGGUGGGUGGUGGUGCAUGGCCGUUCUUAGUUGGUGGAGCGAUUUGUCUGGUUAAUUCCGAUAACGAACGAGACUCUAGCCUGCUAAAUAGGUGCCGGG
rnacentral:rRNA from 1 species